AGUGAACGCUGGCGGUAGGCCUAACACAUGCAAGUCGAACGGCAGCACAGUAAGAGCUUGCUCUUACGGGUGGCGAGUGGCGGACGGGUGAGGAAUACAUCGGAAUCUACUUUUUCGUGGGGGAUAACGUAGGGAAACUUACGCUAAUACCGCAUACGACCUACGGGUGAAAGCAGGGGAUCUUCGGACCUUGCGCGAUUGAAUGAGCCGAUGUCGGAUUAGCUAGUUGGCGGGGUAAAGGCCCACCAAGGCGACGAUCCGUAGCUGGUCUGAGAGGAUGAUCAGCCACACUGGAACUGAGACACGGUCCAGACUCCUACGGGAGGCAGCAGUGGGGAAUAUUGGACAGUGGGCGCAAGCCUGAUCCAGUCAUACCGCGUGGGUGAAGAAGGCCUUCGGGUUGUAAAGCCCUUUUGUUGGGAAAGAAAAGCAGCAGGUUAAUACGCCGCUGUUCUGACGGUACCCAAAGAAUAAGCACCGGCUAACUUCGUG
rnacentral:rRNA from 1 species